rnacentral:rRNA from 1 species
ACCAGCCUACGGGAGGCAGCAGUGAGGAAUAUUGGUCAAUGGGCGGAAGCCUGAACCAGCCACGUCGCGUGAGGGAAUAAGGCCCUACGGGUCGUAAACCUCUUUUGCCGGGGAGCAAGGGCGGGGACGUGUCCCGGCCCGGAGAGUACCCGGAGAAAAAGCAUCGGCUAACUCCGUGCCAGCAGCCGCGGUAAUACGGAGGAUGCGAGCGUUAUCCGGAUUUAUUGGGUUUAAAGGGUGCGUAGGCGGGCUUUUAAGUCAGCGGUAAAAAUUCGGGGCUCAACCCCGUCCGGCCGUUGCAACUG